CUCAUUCUUCAUUCCAGACAGCCUCUCCUGGGAGAGCAAGCAGCCCAGAGCCAACCACAACAAAGAAGCACCAGUUACCUUCCUUAAAAGAAAUUCCUGGAUAAUGUGGAUGAGAACGGAGGCUAACAGAAAGAUGUUUGGUGUGAUAAAUCUCCUGAAAAGAACCUGAUGCUGGCCAGCACCCCAGCAUCACUCUUCCUGGAAGCCCAAGAAAUCACAGUUUCUGGAAUCAAAAAGUACAAAGAGUACCGAGGGCCACCAUCAAGUGAGCAGCCCAACCUAUUCUCCCUGACAUGAUGAGUGCAGAACCAGUGGUCGUAGAUUAAACUCUCUGAAACUGUCAUGGGGCUUUGCGUUCCAGUCCCCGGAGAAAGACACAAGCAUAGCAAGAUUCUAUACUAGUUAUUAAUUCUGUUGCCAUCUGUUUCAAAGCCAGUAAAGGACAAAGGAUAAAUGUUUACCUUUCAAGGAACAAAAGAGACAGCUCCCUACAGACCUUCUGUUGCCCACGUCUUAUCACUGU
rnacentral:lncRNA from 1 species